rnacentral:lncRNA from 1 species
AAACACUAAUCUUAAUCAAAGGGAGGAUUGAAAUGUAGUUUCAAUUCACAAUCGAUCAUUAAGAGUAACAAUUGCCCACUGCCUCACUAAUUGGAACCUAAUGGAUCGUACACCGAGUAAGGAUGAAAGUGAAGAAAUAUAAUUGAAAUGGAUAAGCAAUUAAAUGGUUUAAUUGAAAUAUGGUCAAGGUUAAUUAAUUAGUUAAUUAAUUAUACGAAAGGUUCGUAUUGGGCUUUUAAGUUAGUUUUGGGCUUCGGGGUCCAAAAGGGUUUGGUCCACUAG